rnacentral:rRNA from 1 species
ACGAACGCUGGCGGCGUGCUUUACACAUGCAAGUCGAGCGGUAAGGCCCUUUCGGGGGUACACGAGCGGCGAACGGGUGAGUAACACGUGAGUAAUCUGCCCUUCACUUGGGGAUAAGCACCGGAAACGGUGUCUAAUACCCGAUACGACGCAGUCCUGCAUGGGAUCUGUGUGGAAAGUUUUUUCGGUGGGGGAUGUGCUCGCGGCCUAUCAGCUUGUUGGUGGGGUAAUGGCCUACCAAGGCUUCGACGGGUAGCCG